GCAUUUUAAGUUCAUAUGUUUAAAUUGCACAGAAGUAGAAAUGUUGUAUAUUAUAUUUAGCUUAUUCCUUGCAUGUCUGAGUUUCAAAAUAUUUUUUUUACUUCCAUUUUUUUAUUUUUCACUGCCUUAGGGAGCAGUGCAUUUGUAAAGCAGCAGAGUAGAGUAGUUAGCAAAUGAUAGGUUUUGAAUCUACAAAUUUUAAAUUUUCAGUUGUUCAUUGUAAUACAGUUUAUGUUUUAUCAUUUCAUAGUUUUAUACUCAUAAAAAUAUAUGAAAAAAUAACAUUAUGAAUUCAGAUAUGAAGAGGAAAACAAAAAUUGAGUAAUUGCCAUUUUACAUGUACACUGAAAUGAGCUGGGUUUUUUUUCCACAAGUAGUUUUAUUUUUGCUAUAGAAAAGCCUUUUUGCCAUGCUAAAUUUGAACAAUUUCUUCAAUGAUUUAAGUGUGUAUUGUUCUCUUUAAUAGACUUUGCCCACCUAAUACACAUACUGUGUCACACAAAUUCUCCUUUAAAGUGUACAAUGUAUGUGUGUUAGACUGGAAGCCAAAAUUUGUAAAUUUAUGAAUUUUCUGUUUUGUUAUUUUUUUUUAAACUGUCGAAUUACUUUUUGUUAGUGAAUUUUAUUAACUUUGUUUUAAAUACUAGAUUGUAUGGAAGAGCAGAUAUUUUUAUCAUUUUAUGUUGCAUAUAAAACAAGAGUUGUAUACCUAGUUGAAAAUUUUCAACUAGAAUUGGUGCUUAUUAUUUCAUUUGCUUUUCACUUCGGAGGUAGCCUUGACCUCAUAGAGGUGUCCUUGACAUUUCUUAGGUGUCACUCUCGAUGACUUUUAUGACAUCUUUUUUAUAUACAUUCGACUCGUGUAUUUAUAUGUUAAAGCAUUUCUUGUUUCUGUAAUAAACCUCAACUGAAAUUGAAUUGAAAUAUU
rnacentral:sRNA from 1 species